AAUGACACGGCUUCCCCUCCCUUGGCUCAGUUAUGGAAUGUGAGGGCUGGGAAAGUGUGUGGGAAGUCAGAGGUCCCUCCCUCAUAGCACAGAGGAAAUGAUACAGGCUGAGGAGAAGUCUCCAGAAAUGGGCACAUCAGAGGCUCUGGGGUUGGCUCCACAGCCCCAGGACAGCGGAGUCUGAGGGGUUCUCUCAGCUCUAACUCUCCCCUUUCCUUCUUAUGGCCGCCCCAUCACCGCUGCUCCUCCGGACACUCUGAUGCUUGCUUCCCAGAACUGGGAGACUCCACCAUGACAGGCAGCCACCAGCAGGUGUCAGCAAGUCCUUCCUCUGCACCUGCAGAAGCAGCA